GGCGGGUCCUCAGGGCGCGCGGCGUGCUCGGCGGCGCGGGGCGCGUGCGACUGCGCGGGGGAGGCGUGGGCGCCGCGCUCGCCCGGAUGCGCCGGCCCUUCCCCUGCGGCGAGCCCCCCGCGCGCCUGCCGGGGCCUUCGGGGCGGGAGGUUCCGGCGUCGCGCUCGGCUUUCUCUUCCCGCCCGCCCGACCGCUCGAAGCUCGGUGCGGCCUGAGCCGAGAGAUUUCUCCCCUGAACCGUGAACGGACAAAGAGGCUGCCGCAGCAAGUAAAACAAAACUUGGACGGCUUCACGUCGAGCCCCGCAAGCGGGAUCAGAAUCGGGACCUUGUGCUUGCAAGGCAGGUGGCAGAACCACUGAGCUAAAUCCCUGGCCAAAGGAUUAACUGUUUAAAGGAAUUGGACUCAGGACCUUGUACUUGCCAGGCAUACAGCGGAACCACUGAGCUAAAUCCCUGGCCUCUUCCAUGUAUUUUUAAAAAGCUGACUGCAUAUCAGAGCUUUCAGGGAAUGACAGGCUGAGGGAAGAGCAUGAGCAUGAAGUCUGGGGCAUGGAACAGCAUGUGACAGUGGGACCCCCGGGAGUGAGUAAGAACAAGAGUAACCUCAGAAGA
ensembl:lncRNA